UGUGUCUUGGAGUACACAUACUGCUAAAAUUGGAUCCAUACAGAGAGGAUUAGCAUGACCCCUGCACAAGGAUGAGAUGAAAAUUCGUGGAUUGUUCCAUAUUUUU
ensembl:snRNA U6 U6 spliceosomal RNA